UACAGAGAGUGCAAACGUUGUUCGGAGUUACUGGGCUUGAAGCGCACGUAGGCGGCGUUGUAAGUGUCGGGUGAAAUCCCACGGCUCACCCGUGGAACUGCCCGGCAUACUGCGAUGCUAGAGUGUGGUAGGGGAGAGCGGAACUCCUGGUGGAGCGGUGAAAUGCGUAGAUAUCUGGAGGAACACCGGUGGCGAAGGCGGCAUCCUGGACCGAGAUUGACGCUGAUGCGCGAAAGCCAGGGGAGCAAACGGG
rnacentral:rRNA from 1 species